rnacentral:tRNA from 1 species
UGCGGCGUGGAGCAGUGGAAGCUCGUUGGGCUCAUAACCCAAAGGUCGGCAGUUCGAAUCUGCCCGCCGCAACCA